AACGAACGCUGGCGGCAUGCCUAACACAUGCAAGUCGAACGAGACCUUCGGGUCUAGUGGCGCACGGGUGCGUAACGCGUGGGAACCUGCCCUUAGGUUCGGAAUAACUCCCCGAAAGGUGUGCUAAUACCGGUUAAUGUCUUCGGACCAAAGAUUUAUCGCCUUUGGAUGGGCCCGCGUUGGAUUAGCUAGUUGGUAGGGUAAAAGCCUACCAAGGCGACGAUCCAUAGCUGGUCUGAGAGGAUGAUCAGCCACACUGGGACUGAGACACGGCCCAGACUCCGACGGGAAGCAGCAGUGGGGAAUAUUGGACAAUGGGCGAAAGCCUGAUCCAGCAAUGCCGCGUGAGUGAUGAAGGCCUUAGGGUUGUAAAGCUCUUUUACCCGGGAUGAUAAUGACAGUACCGGGAGAAUAAGCUCCGGCUAACUCCGUG
rnacentral:rRNA from 1 species